UACAGAGACUGCGAGCGUUAUUCGGAUUCAUUGGGCGUAAAGGGUGCGUAGGUGGCGCCAUAAGUCGGGUGUGAAAUCUCGGGGCUUAACUCCGAAACUGCAUUCGAUACUGUGGUGCUUGAGGACUGGAGAGGAGACUGGAAUUCAUGGUGUAGCAGUGAAAUGCGUAGAUAUCGUAAGGAAGACCGGUGGCGAAGGCUAGUCUCUGGACAACUACUGACGCUGAGGCACGAAGGCCAGGGGAGCAAACGGG
rnacentral:rRNA from 1 species